GACGAACCGAGCGAACGUUGUUCGGAAUCACUGGGCUUAAAGGGCGCGUAGGCGGGCCGCCGCGUCCGGGGUGAAAUCCUCCCGCUCAACGGGAGAACGGCCUCGGAUACGGGCGGCCUGGAGGGGGGUAGGGGCGUGCGGAACUGUGGGUGGAGCGGUGAAAUGCGUUGAUAUCCACAGGAACUCCGGUGGCGAAGGCGGCACGCUGGACCCCACCUGACGCUGAGGCGCGAAAGCCAGGGGAGCGAAC
rnacentral:rRNA from 1 species